rnacentral:rRNA from 1 species
CCGGCCUUGACAUCCCGAUGAAUGUACAGUAAUGUGUACAGGACUUCGGUACAUCGGAGACAGGUGGUGCAUGGUUGUCGUCAGCUCGUGUCGUGAGAUGUUGGGUUAAGUCCCGCAACGAGCGCAACCCCUGCCCUCAGUAGCCAGCAGGUAAAGCUGGGAACUCUGAGGGGACUGCCCGGGAUAACCGGGAGGAAGGCGGGGAUGACGUCAAAUCAUCAUGCCCCUUAUGGCCGGGGCUACACACGUGCUACAAUGGCGGAAACAGAGGGAAGCAGCCCCGUGAGGGUGAGCGAACCCCAAAAAUACCGCCUCAGUUCGGAUUGUAGUCUGCAACCCGACUACAUGAAGCCGGAAUCGCUAGUAAUCGCGAAUCAGAAUGUCGCGGUGAAUACGUUCCCGGGUCCUGUACACACCGCCCGUCACACCAUGGGAGCCGGAAAUGCCCGAAGUCAGUGGCCCAACCCAAAAGGAGGGAGCUGCCGAAGGUGGAGCUGGUAACUGGGGUGA